rnacentral:rRNA from 1 species
UACGUAGGGGCAAGCGUUAUCCGGAUUUACUGGGUGUAAAGGGAGCGCAGACGGAACUGCAAGUCUGAUGUGAAAGCCCGGGGCUCAACCGCGGGACUGCAUCGGAUACUGUGGAUCUGGAGUGCCGGAGGGGCAAGCGGAAUUCCUGGUGUAGCGGUGAAAUGCGUAGAUAUCAGGAGGAACACCGGCGGCGAAGGCGGCUUGCUGGACGGCAACUGACGUUGAGGCUCGAAAGCGUGGGGAGCAAACAGGAUUAGAUA